GACGAACGCUGGCGGCGUGCUUAACACAUGCAAGUCGAACGCUGAAGCUUGGUGCUUGCACUGGGUGGAUGAGUGGCGAACGGGUGAGUAAUACGUGAGUAACCUGCCCUUGACUCUGGGAUAAGCCUGGGAAACUGGGUCUAAUACUGGAUACGACAUGCCACUGCAUGGUGGUGUGUGGAAAGGGUUUUACUGGUUUUGGAUGGGCUCACGGCCUAUCAGCUUGUUGGUGGGGUAAUGGCCUACCAAGGCGACGACGGGUAGCCGGCCUGAGAGGGUGACCGGCCACGCUGGGACUGAGACACGGCCCAGACGCCUACGGGAGGCAGCAGUGGGGAAUAUUGCACAAUGGGCGGAAGCCUGAUGCAGCAACGCCGCGUGAGGGAUGACGGCCUUCGGGUUGUAAACCUCUUUCAGCACGGAAGAAGCGAGAGUGACGGUACGUGCAGAAGAAGCGCCGGCUAACUACGUG
rnacentral:rRNA from 1 species